AUGUGGGAUACAUCAAGGAAAGGUCUAUUGAGCUUGGUCCGCAAGACUGCACGUCAUCUUUUACUUAAGGUGUCAAAUAUUUUGCAAAUUAAAGACAGGGUGUCAAUGAUAAGGAUUACAAUUCUACAAAGCUAAAUGAAGAUUUUGCUACUUUGGAACAUGUAUUGAACUUAUCCUUAUCGGUGAAGAUGUACAUCAACAUGAAUUCCCCAAAAAGAUUAAGAUGAAGUUUCGUUCUCUACAAAAAUCGGACUGGAGAUUCAGUGCGAUGAAGAUGAAGAAUUUUGGAAUAUGGUAUCAAAGGAUUUCCAACUAUUAAAGUAUUUGUGCCUGGAAAACCUCCUAUUGAUUACUAAGGAGCUAGGGAAGCAAAACCAAUAGCAGAAUUUGCACUUUCACAGGUCAAGGCACUCCUCAAGGACAGGUUAAGUGGAAAAACAACAGGAGGAUCAAGUGAGAAAUCAGAACCAAGUUUAUCAGUCGAACUGAAUUCACGUAAUUUUGAGGAAUUGGUUGUUGAAAGCAAAAAUCUCUGGAUGGUGGAAUUCUUUGCACCAUGGGGUCUUCUCGCCGAGUGAUGAGCUGGCAAAGGAGGUGGUUGUUGCCUCAGAUCCGCCGGAGAAAAGUUUUGGAGGAUCCCAAUGGAGGAGAGUUACUGGGAAAAGAUGAAAUCAGGAGUGUAAUAGAUGUCUGCAAAUGAUGUUAAUCAAUUGGAUGAAGAUAAUGUAACCUCCUUCACUUCCACUGUUACAAGAACGUUUUAUGGCUGGACUUGAUGAACGAAUAGUUUUGAAGGUGUACUAAAUACUAAAGGUAUAUGUUAACUAGAUGGGUUCACUUCAGUGACGCUUGUGUGUUGAAGUAUAUGGAGCAUGAAGAUAUGUUGGUCAUUUAUAAUUAUAAGUAGGUUGGUGUGUAGAUUGACAUUCUUUUUUUUAACC